GAACUGGAUCUCUGGGUAGAGCUUGGAUUUUUGGUCUAUGCAGGAACAUAGCCUGAAUUGUCUGUGCCCCUGGGCACAGGCAGUUCCUGUGAUGUCAGCCUGGCCUGCAGACUCUGCAUAUCUUUAUCUGCAGAAUUCACCAGAAUAUGUUGCACAGCAUAUAUCUGUAUCCUGCUCUUGGGAGGGAGAAAUGCAUGCUGGGGACAGCCUCUAAGGGCUGGAGGAUGAUUUUCAGAGAGUGUGAUUUCUGUGCAAGCAGUAGAGAAAGCAAGAAGCCAAAAGAUGCCUUUUUUGCACAUGGAGCAGAUGUGAACGCUAUGAUGGACUUCUAAUUAGUGCUGUGGCAGAAGCCUGACUUCUCUGCAGGAGAAAACCUGAAAUUCACCUAAGACCCUUAGCCCAACUCCCACACAUUUGUUUUAGGCUGUAGACUGAGCCUUAAUUCCCCAGAUAACUACCUUCCCUGCAAAAUCUGUCUAGGCCUUCCAUGAAUUUGUUUAUGGUUCUGCUCAUCAGGGACAAGUUUGCUGCUGCUGUCAGGCAGAGCUGGGAGGCAAAGGCUGGCAAAUG